rnacentral:lncRNA from 1 species
CAUCUCCAGUACUGCUCUGAGAGUCACUUCAUGAGAAUUUGACCGUUUGAUUUGAGUAAAACUAGCAUCAUAUCACAUAAACAGAACUGUAAAGGUAUUCAAAGCAACCCGUUAAAGUAUUUGCCAGAAAUGUAUUACUAUUGUUCAGCAGAAUGUACAUAGCCAACUACUACUACUACUGCUAAAAAGAAACAAACAUUAUUUUUUAAUGAAUAAUCACACAUUUCUUCGAUGUUUUAAUUUUAAUAGUAAAUCAGCUUUGUUUACCAAAAAAUAAAAUUUGCUUAAUUUUCAAUAAUUAAGAGAUACAUUUAAAUUAAUGUUUUAUGCCUUCAUUUGAUAACCAGAAAAAUGUAAAUACCCAACAGAAUUUCUGAAAAAAAAAAAAUAAUAAUUUUUUUAAGGCUAUUUUAAGAAAAAAAAAUGAAGUUGUUUUUAUGCAUUUGAAUAAUUAGACAUGCUAAAACAGAAUUAGGUAACAUUAAAACAUGGUGAAGAAAAAAUAAAACAUUUCAUAGGGCCCUAAACAUGUAAUUUUUGUUAAAGUUUUAAUAAAUUGAUGUGAAAAGUUUCAUGAUUUUAAUUAAUUAGAAAUGCUUUUUGAUUAAUAAAAUUUAAUUUAACCAUUAAAAAAAUAAAAAAACGGAAUCCAGAAAAAAUAAAACAGAAUUUGGGAAAAAAUAAAACAGAUUUAAUAGGGCCCUACAAAUGCUUUAGAGUUUAGCUUAGCAUCUUGAAAUACACUGACACAGCAUGCAGCGCUUCAGAAACGCCAGUGGAAUUUUGUAUCCUUGCUUUAUAGGGACCUAAACUGGUAUUCUCAGAAAUGCACACUUAAUUAAAAGACAAUUGCAAACAUACACACAGUGAGUGAGUCUAGACCUCACUCGAAAUCUCCACAGAAACUCAAAUAACAGCAUAAAUUCUGCUCAAGUACCUGAGUUUAUAACAAACAUAUGUGGCUGAUCUCUCUCCCUCUCUUGCUCUCUUCAGCCUUUCCUGUUUAAGUGUGUUUGUUGUGCUGGAAGAGGUCAGGAAAGCGGAGGAUCUUUGUCGUGAGGUUAGAGAGAAAUUAGAUCAGGAAGAGACAAUUACCAAGGAUCUCAAAGUAGAGA